UUUUUCCCUCCUGCCAUGGUCCAGGGUAGCCAGAUACUUCUCCAGGCUGUCACUUACGUGGGCUUUCCUGCUGGCUACAUCACUGAAAUGGAAUCUCCUAGUGGCCCUUCUCCCUCUACAGCUCUGGUGUUACACUGAAAAACUAGAAGUUUCAAAAUAGACAAGGGAACAAGAGAAACAUCAGAAAGUCUGAUCAAAGUAGAAGCAUCAUGUGUCUAUCAACGUAUCCACUGUGCUUGGCAUUAUAGUACACGUAGCCUUGGAGUCAGAAGACCAAGAACAUACAAGAGAACAUAGCCUUGGAAUCAGAAGAUCAAGAAACAAUUUAACUCUGCCCCUCCAGAGCUCUGAGAACUUGGGCAACCCUCUUACUCUCUGUGAGUUUCAGUUUCCUCAUUUAUUUAAUUGAAAUAAUAAUACAGAUCACCUGAAAUGUAAUGAAAAUUAAACUUCCUUAUGUAGGUGAUACCAAUUGGCAGCAUGCCUGGAAUAUAGUAGGUGUUCAAUAAAUACUUUUA